AUACUCUUCUCUGCACCACAUCAGAAGAAGGAAUUUGAUCCUCUUUUUGCCAUGGCGGUGGUCAAGAAGACACUCGUCAUUGUUCUGGUUGCUGCGAUCCUGUCUUCAAUAUCUCCAUGCUACGAAGCUGGCCAAAACUCAUGUGCAGGCACUGGCUGCAGUCAGCUAGAUGCAACACCUUGCGUGGACCCUAUCAAGAACGACGCGGACCACUGUACAACUGCAACAUGCGCCUUGAGAUGCCUAGCCACUAGACACAGGACCAGGUCGGCCUACUGUAAACAUGAGGGUAGCAAAUAUGAGUGUUGCUGCCCACCAUGAGAUCUACGGGCACGAUUUGUGUAAUACAUUGAAUGUCUCCAAUAUAGAGUGGAAGAACUACUGGUUUUAUGAAA